UACAGAGGGUGCGAGCGUUAAUCGGAAUUACUGGGCGUAAAGCGCACGUAGGUGGCGACGUAAGUCGGGUGUGAAAGCCCCGGGCUCAACCUGGGAAUUGCAUUCGAGACUGCAUUGCUGGAGUACGGAAGAGGAAGGCGGAAUUCCCGGUGUAGCGGUGAAAUGCGUAGAGAUGUGGAGGAACACCAGUGGCGAAGGCGACUCUUUGGUCUGUAACUGACGCUGAGGCGCGAAAGCGUGGGGAGCAGACAGG
rnacentral:rRNA from 1 species